UACAGAGGUCUCAAGCGUUGUUCGGAUUCAUUGGGCGUAAAGGGUGCGUAGGCGGCGCGGUAAGUCGGGUGUGAAAUCUCGGAGCUUAACUCCGAAACUGCAUUCGAUACUGCCGUGCUUGAGGACUGGAGAGGAGACUGGAAUUUACGGUGUAGCGGUGAAAUGCGUAGAUAUCGUAAGGAAGACCAGUGGCGAAGGCGAGUCUCUGGACAGUUCCUGACGCUGAGGCACGAAGGCCAGGGGAGCAAACGGG
rnacentral:rRNA from 1 species